rnacentral:rRNA from 1 species
CACGUAGGGCGCAAGCGUUGUCCGGAAUUAUUGGGCGUAAAGAGCUCGUAGGCGGACUGUCACGUCUGCUGUGAAAAGCUAGGGCUUAACCCUGGCCUUGCAGUGGAUACGGGCAGACUAGAGGUAGGUAGGGGAGAAUGGAAUUCCCGGUGUAGCGGUGAAAUGCGCAGAUAUCGGGAGGAACACCGGUGGCGAAGGCGGGUCUCUGGACAGUUCCUGACGCUGAGGCACGAAGGCCAGGGGAGCAAACGGG